AUCCAGGGUGGAUUAUAGGAGCAGGGUGGCACAUCUAUACAGCCAUGACCUCUCUAUAGCACUUCAAGCUCUGGUGGCUCCAAAAGGCAACAGAGCCCCACUGCCUAGCUGAGCUGCACAAUUUGGACAAUCUCUUUCCUCUUCUGGGUUACCAAUUGACUCGGCUUCUCAUCUGAGUCCACAGACUCCUAACACAAUCCUCUUCCUACAAGGCACCCAUGGACUAAAUGAGGGACACUCAUGAUUAAGGCCACGACUCAUUGUAAACAUUUGAAACCGGAAACUUGGGAUUCUGGAAAAGGCAAGA
rnacentral:lncRNA from 1 species